GKCUGRGRCSGGSMGGCCUWACACAUGCAAGUCGAACGGUAACAGGAAGCAGCUUGCUGCUUCGCUGACGAGUGGCGGACGGGUGAGUAAUGUCUGGGAAACUGCCUGAUGGAGGGGGAUAACUACUGGAAACGGUAGCUAAUACCGCAUAACGUCGCAAGACCAAAGAGGGGGACCUUCGGGCCUCUUGCCAUCGGAUGUGCCCAGAUGGGAUUAGCUAGUAGGKGGGGUAACGGCUCACCUAGGCGACGAUCCCUAGCUGGUCUGAGAGGAUGACCAGCCACACUGGAACUGAGACACGGUCCASACUCCUACGGGAGGCAGCAGUGGGGAAUAUUGCACAAUGGGCGCAAGCCUGAUGCASCCAUGCCGCGUGUAUGAAGAAGGCCUUCGGGUUGUAAAGUACUUUCAGCGGGGAGGAAGGYGWUGAGGUUAAUAACCUYGUCRAUUGACGUUACCCGCARAARAAGCACCGGCUAACUCCGUGCCAGCMGCCGCGGUAAUACGGAGGGUGCAAGCGUUAAUCGGAAUUACUGGGCGUAAAGCGCACGCAGGCGGUCUGUCAAGUCRGAUGUGAAAUCCCCGGGCUCAACCUGGGAACUGCAUUCGAAACUGGCAGGCUAGAGUCUUGUAGAGGGGGGUAGAAUUCCAGGUGUAGCGGWGAAAUGCRUAGAGAUCUGGAGGAAUACCGGUGGCGAAGGCGGCCCCCUGGACAAAGACUGACGCUCAUGUGMGAAAGCGUGGGGAGCAAACAGGAUUAGAUACCCUGGGWSUCCACGCCGUAMACKAUGUCGACU
rnacentral:rRNA from 1 species